rnacentral:lncRNA from 1 species
GGCUAGUAACAGUAACUAAGGUUCAGGGCAGGGUUCUGGGUGGAGGCUAGUAACAGUAACUAAGGUUCAGAGCGGGUACUGGGUGGAGGCCGGCUAGUAACAGUAACUAAGGUUCAGGGCAGGGUACUGGGUGGAGGCUAGUAACAGUAACUAAGGUUCAGAGCGGGUACUGGGUGGAGGCUAGUAACAGUAAGUAAGGUUCAGGGCAGCAGUAUCUAAGGUUCAGGGCAGGGUACUGGGUGGAGGCUGGCUAGUAACAGUAACUAAGGUUCAGGGCGGGGUACUGGGUGGAGACUAGCUAGUAACAGUAACUAAGGUUCAGGGCAGGGUACUGGGUGGAGACUAGCUAGUAACAGUAACUAAGGUUCAGGGCAGGGUACUGGGUGGAGGCUAACUAGUAACAGUGACUAAGGUUCAGGGCAGGGUACUGGGUGGAGGCUGGCUAGUAACAGUAACUAAGGUUCAGGGCAGGGUACUGGGCAGGGUACUGGGUGGAGGCUAGUAACAGUAACUAAGGUUCAGGGCAGCAGUUUCUGGGUGGAGGCUAGUAACAGUAACUAAGGUUCAGGGCAGGGUACUGGGUGGAGGCUAGUAACAGUAACUAAGGUUCAGGGCAGGGUACUGGGUGGAGGCUGGCUAGUGGUGACUAAGGUUCAGGGCAGGGUACUGGGUGGAGGCUAGUAACAGUAACUAAGGUUCAGGGCAGGGUACUGGGUGGAGGCUAGCUAGUAACAGUAACUAAGGUUCAUGGCAGGGUACUGGGUGGAGGCUGGCUAGUGGUGACUAAGGUUCAGGGCAGGGUACUGGGUGGAGGCUAGUAACAGUAACUAAGGUUCAGGGCAGGGUACUGGGUGGAGGCUAGCUAGUAACAGUGACUAAGGUUCAGGGCAGGGUACUGGGUGGAGGCUAGCUAGUAACAGUAACUAAGGUUCAGGGCAGGGUACUGGGUGGAGGCUAACUAGUAACAGUAACUAAGGUUCAGGGCAGGGUACUGGGUGGAGGCAGGCUAGUAACAGUAACUAAGGUUCAGGGCAGGGUACUGGGUGGAGGCUAGCUAGUAACAGUAACUAAGGUUCAGGGCAGGGUACUGGGUGGAGGCUAGCUAGUAACAGUAACUAAGGUUCAGGGCAGGGUACUGGGUGGUAGCCGGCUAGUAACAGUGACUAAGGUUCAGGGCAGGGUACUGGGUGGAGGCUAACUAGUAACAGUAACUAAGGUUCAGGGCAGGGUACUGGGUGGAGGCUAGUAACAGUAACUAAGGUUCAGGGCAGGGUACUGGGUGGAGGCUAGUAACAGUAACUAAGGUUCAGGGCAGCAGUUUCUGGGUGGAGGCUAGUAACAGUAACUAAGGUUCAGGGCAGGGUACUGGGUGGAGGCUAGUAACAGUAACUAAGGUUCAGGGCAGGGUACUGGGUGGAGGCUAGCUAGUAACAGUAACUAAGGUUCAGGGCAGGGUACUGGGUGGAGGCUAGCUAGUAACAGUGACUAAGGUUCAGGGCAGGGUACUGGGUGGAGGCUGGCUAGUAACAGUAACUAAGGUUCAGGGCAGGGUACUGGGUGGAGGGUAGCUAGAAACAGUGACUAAGGUUCAGGGCAGGGUACUGGGUGGAGGCUGGCUAGUAACAGUAACUAAGGUUCAGGGCAGGGUACUGGGUGGAGGCUAGUAAGAGUCACUAAGGUUCAGGGCAGGGUACUGGGUGGAGGCUGGCUAGUAACAGUAACUAAGGUUCAUGGCAGGGUUCUGGGUGGAGGCUGGCUAGUGACAGUGGCUAAGGUUCAGGGCAGGAUACUGGGUGGAGGCUGGCUAGUGACAGUGGCUAAGGUUCAGGGCAGGGUACUGGGUGGAGGCUGGAAUGUGGUAACUAAGAUUCAGGGCAGGGUUCUGAGUGGAGGAUGGCUUGUGUUGACUAAGGUAUAGGGCAGGGUACUGGGUGGAGGCUGGAUAGUGGUAACUAAGGUUCAGGGCAGGGUACUGGGUGGAGGCCGGAUAGUGACAGUGACUAAUGUUCAGGGCAGGGUACUGGGUGGAGGCUGGAUAGUGACAGUGACUAAGGUUCAGGGCUGGGUACUGGGUGGAGGCUGGAUAGUGACAGUGACUAACGGUCAUGGCAGGGUACUGGGUGGUGGCCGGAUAGUGACAGUGACUAACGGUCAUGGCAGGGUACUGGGUGGAGGCUGGAUAGUGACAGUGACUAACGGUCAUGGCAGGGUACUGGGUGGAGGCUGGCCAGUGGUUAAUAAGGUUCAGGGCAGGGUACUGGGUGGAGGCCGGAUAGUGGUAACUAAGAUUCAGAGCAGGGUACUGGGUGGAGGCCGGAUAGUGGUGACUUUUUAACAAUCUGAUAUAUGAUCCUUAUAAAUCCUUAAUACACACCACUCUGAUAUUAGAAUCAGCUGAAGAUUUAUCAUUUCUGGUGUUGUAUAUUCCAUCUAAAGCUCUGUUGUUCUAUAUGUCUCUGUCUCUCUCUCCUUCUUCAUCCAGACACAGACUGCUGUGUUAUAACAGAUUACAGCCCUGUGGAAUAUCCCUAUCAUCAUGAUACAUUUUAUAUAUAAAAGUAUGUGGACACCCCUUCACAUUAGUGGAUUCGGCUAUUUUAACCACACCCGUUGCUGACAGGUGAAUAAAAUCGAGCAACACAGCCAUGAAAUCUCCACAGACAAACAUUGGCAGUAGAAUGGCCUUACUGAAGAGCUCAGUGACUUUCAAAGUGGCACCAUCAUAGGGUGCCACCUUUCCAACAAGUAAGUUUGUCAAAUUUCUGCCCUGCUAGAGCUUCCUGGUCAACUGUAAAUGCUGUUAUUGUGAAGUGAAAAAGUCUAGGAGCAACAACGGCUCAGGCGCGAAGUGGUAGGCCACACAAGCUCACAGAACGGGACCGCCGAGUGCUGAAGCGCAUCCUCAGUUGCAUCGCUCACUACCGAGUUUCAAACUGCCUCUGGAAGCAACAUCAACUGUUCGUCGGGAGGUUCAUGAAAUGGGUUUCCGUGGCUGAGCAGCCGCACACAAGCCUAAGAUCACCAUGCGCAAUGCCAAGCGUUCGCUGGAGUGGUGUAAAGCUCGCCGCCAUUGGACUCUGGAGCAGUGGAAACAAGUUCUCUGGAGUGAUGAAUCACGCUUCACCAUCUGGCAGUCCGACGGACGAAUCUGGGUUUGGCGGAUGCCAGGAGAACACUACCUGCCCCAAUGAAUAGUGCCAACUGUAAAGUUUGGUGGAGGAGGAAUAAUGGUCUGGGGCUGUUUUUCAUGGUUCGGGCCCCUUAGUUCCAGUGAAGGGAAAUCUUAACGCUACAGCAUUCAAUGACAUUCUAGACAAUUCUGUGCUACUAAAUUUGUGGCAACAGUU